AAUAUGUGAUAAUGAAGUCUCUCCUUGCCAGGGAUGGGAACACCCACCAGCGAUUCAAUACUGGCUAAAAGAAAGUGAAAGAGAUACCAAAUGGAAGUGAAAGUGAUACCAAAUGAAAGACCCAUCCAAGAAAAACCAAGAGAGCAAGAGCAGCAAAAUUGAUGCAGAUUAUCUCCGAGAAAAGCCAAGAGUUCAAAGACCAGAAGUAGCUGGAGAUGGAGACAACAUCAAUGGGAAACCUGGUCAUACCGUGGAUCUGAAUGGAAAACCUGUACUGCCUGGAAGCCCACGUUGUGCUCCUUAGGGAGGCCAUCCGAAAUGCAUCUGAAGGAUGAGAUCAGUACUACCAGAGCUCAGCUGUCAUAGACCCACUGAAGGCCAGUGAGCUUAACUUGGCCAGGUUGUGCACGUGAUCCGUCCACGGAGAGAAUUGUUCCCUGUCCGAGAAGAUGAAGUACAUCUACAACCUUCCUUCAAGAGAUAAAAAGGUAC